rnacentral:lncRNA from 1 species
CCAGGGAUUUAGCUCAAUGGUUUCGCCGCCUGCUGUGCAAGCGCAAGGACCCGAGUUUGAUACCCCCGUACCAAAAAAAAGAAAUUUCCUCAGGCUGGUUGUGGUGGUACAUGCCUGUAAUCCCAGCACUGAGGAGGCUAAGGCAGAAGGAUCACAAGUUCAAGGCCAGCCUGGGUAAUUUAGCAAGACCCUAUCUCAAGAAACCUAAAACCAAAAAACAAAAUAUCCCAUCUCCUUCAUUUUUGAAGAAUGCCUUGACAUUAAAAAUAAGGAAAAAAGGAAGGCAAGAAGACAAUUCAAUGGAAAAUGGGCAAAGUAUAUAAAGAGGUGAUUUAUAAAAGAAAUUCAAAUGAUCAACAAGUGUACAAAAAGAUGUUCAUUCAUACUAAUAGUCAGGGGAUUUUGAAUUAAAAUAAUAUAUUAUAUAUUCAGAUUGCAAAUGUUUUAAGAUUGGAAAUAUUCACCAUUAGAAAGGGUUUGAGGAGUAGGGUACUUUUUUUUUGAGUUUGACAAAAUUUAUUGGUUAUUUUAGUAAAGACAUUCAUCUCAGUCGUUUCUCUCCUCAUCUUGACCUUAGCUUAGUAUUUCAUUUGGGUCAAGAAAAGAGUAUGUAGGAGAGGGAUGUUAUUUUAACAAACAGUAAAAUGGACAAAAAUGAACAGUUUGCCUACAUAAAAGUAAAGUUAAAGUUAAAUUCAUAUAUCUUGGUAUAAUUAAAUCAUUUAAGAACUAAUAGUUCUAUAUACAGUUCCAUUGUUUUACUUGGGGCUUAAUCUAAACUUUAAUGUAAAAGAACAACUUAUUAGGCAUAUGCUCAGGUUUCUUCUCUGGAGUUACUAUGAAAAAGAUCAGCAAGUAACUACCACCAAUAAAAUAGUCUGAAGCUGCCUCCAAAUUUAACAUUGUAGGCAUUCUGAAGGAAAUCACUGUAUCAUUUUUCUUUUGUCUGUGACUAUGCUUUCAAAGAUGUGUUUAACUGUCACUUUAAAAAAGUCCAUAUACAAUACAAAAAUACAAAACAAAACACCCUACAGUACACAAAUCUAACAGUAUAUGUGAUGAACAAUUCUAUAAAAUGUGUUUGAAAAUGCAUUUUCUUUCAUUUUCAGUACCCACAAUAUGGCCAGGCCACUGGGCAGUAUAUAUACACUUAAAAUAAACCAUAUAAUUGUUCUAAUAAGAAAUCCUGUAGCGAGUUCAACUCAAAUUGGAUUUAACAACUUAGUAAUGUAAAUGUGUAGACAAAGUUACAGAAAAUGCAUCUUACUGUUUUCCAUCUUCUACAAUGUUAUUUUUUUUUUUUUGGUGUUUAUACCUUUUAAAACAUAAAAACCAGCCAAAUACUUAAUCAGUAUGUACAUUUAAAUUUUUGGUGGUGGUUUUUAUUUUAAAAGAAACAGCUUCCUUAUGAUUUGCCUCAAGUUCUGGUGGAAAUGCUUACAAGAAUUAGCUAGUAAACACACAAAAACCAAGACAAGCACAUUCAAAAUACUGAUUUACUUUGGUAGCAAAUGGCUGUUCUUUGAAG